rnacentral:rRNA from 1 species
CGAGUCGAGAGGGUGCGGCCCUCGGUUCUGGUUGGGGAAUUAACCGGGUCUGCCCUAGGUGGAGGAUAAUCUCGGGAAACUGAGGAUAAUACUCCAUAGAUCUAGGAUGCUGGAAUGCAUCUAGAUUGAAAGCUCCGGCGCCUAAGGAUGAGUCUGCGGACUAUCUGGUUGUAGUCAGGGAAGGGUGUGACUACCCUACGACGGAUACGGGUUGUGAGAGCACUAACCCGGAGACGAUAUCUGAGACAUUAUAUCGGGCCCUACGGGGCGCAGCAGGCGCGAAAACUUCACACUGUGCGAAAGCGCGAUGAGGGAAUCCCAAGUGUUUGCUCGUAAGAGUAAACUGUUUCUUUGUUUAAAACGCAGAGAGAGUAAGGGCUGGGUAAGACGGGUGCCAGCCGCCGCGGUAAUCCUGCAGCUCAGGUGGUGAUCAUUAUUAUAGGGCCU